rnacentral:rRNA from 1 species
AUGGAGGCCGAUGGUUGCCUUGUUGUUCUCCGAUCCGCUGAACGCCGCCCCCGGUGUGACAGUGGGAUAAUGGAGAGGGGAGAGAGAACGGUGAGGGAAGGAGGCAGAUCCGGCGCUCCAGAUCCACGCCACGACACCCUCCUCGCUCCCCUCCUGCCCGUCCUCAUAGUGGUGCUCCUCGUCGUAGCAGCGGAGCUCCGGAUAGUAAUCGUCGUCCUCGUCGCUGUCGGGGAGCCGGACAACGAGGCGGAGGGAGGCAGGUCAGCUGGUAGGUGCGGACGCGGGCGAGGUGCCGCGCGCGGCGGGCGACGAGGGCGCGGAGGUGGUCGAUCUGGGCGGCGGCGAGCGGCAUUUCUCGUCGGCGGAGCGGCAGAACUGGCGCGGCUCAGGAGGAGGGAUUUCGGGAAGGGCAACCGGGCGAUUAGAGGGAGCGUGGAGAUGGAUGGGUUGAUCACGGGAAAUAAAUUGGAGCAAUGCUAUUCACAGCGGUGCUCUCUCCCCAUUCCAUCCCUCGCCCUCGUCUUUGUCCUCGCCAGCCUCUCCGCCGAACGGGCCGCGAUACGGGGCAGGCGCGGCGGAGUCCUCAAGUCGGCGGGGGGCUCGCGGGUGGCUCUCCGCGGAGGGAAUCGUUGGUGCUCGUCGACGUCGAAGGGUUCUGAAAGUCAGUCCCUUCGCCGGAACUCAAAGCAUGCUGCUAAUCGCCAGCCACGCCCAAAACGUAGUGUUGAGCAGGGAGAGGAAGUUGAGGAUGUUGAUCGGUUUCGGGUUGUAAAGCGAACUAAACGUGCAACAGCAGCAGGGCGAGCUGAAUCAUCUACUAGGGCAGCAGUUGGUGGAGGAGAUGCCACAUCUUCCACGGUAGAUGCUGAGGCCAGCAGUGAAGGAGUUGAAGUGGCUGCCCGGGGAGAUGUGGAGAGACCAUCACAAGCUGGUAGGUUAAGGGCAUCACCAGGGCAGUUUGCGAAGUUCAACAGCUCGCUAUCCCCGCCGCAGAAGCCUGAGCUAGUUUCAAGGUUUUUUGGGGACCUCUUGAACUUAUCAGAUACACUUCCAGGGGACUUCAGUAAAUUUCUUGUGCAGUCCUACCAGCCAAAGACCUCUGAAAUGGUGUUCCGAGGCAGGGGAAGGAUCCGUGUCGAUGCUGACAGUGUUCAAAGGAUCUUGUACCUUGACGUGCUCGUUCAUGACAUCCCAGUAAGCAACUGUGCGAUACGAGUGAAUGCAUGGGACAGUAACCUAAUUGCCAAGGUGAUCAAGAAGGACUCGAUCUCUCCUGGUGUGUUCAGCAAAUUACAACUUAAAGAGGAGUAUAGGGGCACGGAGCAGACACCACUGUUUGGUGGUCUUUUGCAAGCUCAAGCAUUCGUUGCAUCCAAAUUACCACUAAUGUACAAUCUGCAUAAAAAGGCAAAGAUUGCCAAAGUGAUCAAUGACUUGUGCAAGGCAGUAACUGAACAGGUUGGCACCUUCAUUGAAGCAGUUGCCAAGAUUGAUGAUGAGGAACCGGAUAUUGAUCCAUAUGUACAACAGACAUCAACGGGAACCCCUCCGUCACGCCGUGCUCCAAAAACAAUUGAUGGAAGUGAGGGGGAAGGAGAUGACGAGGAUGCUGAUCCUGAUGAUCAAGAGGGAUCCAAUGGAGGCAAUGACAACUCCGAUGAUGAUGAUGAUGACAAUGGCCCUAGUUCUGGUGGUACAGGCGGCAACACAACUAGGAAUCUGCCCAAGUCAAAGAAAAGUGAUGAAGCGGAGUCUCAGGGGAGCAUUGACAUGUUCAAGUUGUGCAACAUGAAGACAACUUUGCCAACCACUUUCCCUGUGCCAGACUUCCAUGAGCGAGAGUUGUGUGACAAGAUAGAUUUUGCUAUUGACCAGAAUCUGUUCUUCUUGAGUGAGGCUAAAAAGAAUCUAGUUGACAUGGAGGAAGCAGGGAAGGGUCUUGACUGGAUGAGCAAAGGAGUUACAAUGAAGAAGAAUCUGAAGUUGCCUCAAACCAAGCAACAGAUGCCGAGGGUAGAUGCAGAAAUAAAUGGGGACAAGGAAGCUGUGGCGCAAACUGUUGUGCCAACUAUAGUGAUCAGAGAGCCAACCACCACUCAAGAUGUGUCAGCAAUUCCUGUUGAGCCUACAACCAUCACAGGAGUUCAACAGAUCAAGGGGAAGAUUCCUAUGUUAAUAACCCCACCUAAACCAGCUAAGCAGCAAAAGAUUGUCAAGUUUGCCAAGGGCACAAAGGAGGAACAGGGCAGAAAAGGACUGCCAAGUUCUGCUAGUUUGGUGCCAACUCAGACUGCAAAGAUGCCAACUGCAAAUACCAGUGUACCAACUGAAGUGUCAAUUAGCACACGGGUCACAGUCAAAACUAGCAGAGUUGCUCAGGAAGACUCAACUGCAACCACAAGCCCCAAGGUGACAAGUCAUAGAGAUUCUUCAAUGACAAACACGGAAGGAGGUCGUCAAUCUGUCAAACUGCCGUCUCCAAGAGCUAUCACAGAGCAUCCAAGCAAGUCUGCAUCACCAAGAGCUAAUUUUCAGAACACAUUAACACAAGAGGAGGUGUUCAACAUUGUAAGUAGGUGCAAGCCUCCCAGGCCGCCAACCACAACAUUACUGUGA